rnacentral:rRNA from 1 species
GACGAACGCUGGCGGCGUGCUUAACACAUGCAAGUCGAACGGAAAGGCCCUGCUUUUGUGGGGUGCUCGAGUUACGAACGGGUGAGUAACACGUGAGUAACCUGCCCUUGACUGUGGGAUAACUUCAUGAAACUGGGGCUAAUACCGGAUAGGAGCUCCUGCUGCAUGGUGGGGGUUGGAAAGUUUCGUCGGUUGGGGAUGGACUCGCGUCGGAUUAGCUUGUUGGUAGGGUAGUGGCCGACCAAGGCGUCCAUGCAUAGCUGGGCGGAGAGGAUGACCAGCCACACUUGGACUGAGACACGGCCCAGACUCCGACGGGAGGCAGCAGUGGGGAAUAUUGUACGAGGGACGAAAGUCUAAUCCAGCAGUGCCGCGUGAGUGAUGAAGGCCUUAGUGUUGUAAAGCUCUUUUACCCGGGAUGAUAAUGACAGUACCGGGAAAAUAAGCACCGGCUAACUACGUG